rnacentral:rRNA from 1 species
CCCUUAGACGUCCUGGGCCGCACGCGUGCUACACUGAUACGUACAACAAGGUAUAUGCAUUCAUGCAUCGAUGCUGCUCCGAAAUAGACACAGCUAAAUCUUCUAAAAUACGUAUCGUGCUGCGGAUAGAUCGUUGAAAUUAUGGAUCUUGAAGGUGGAAUUCCUAGUAAGCGCGGGUCAUCAACCCGCGUUGAUUACGUCCCUGCCCUUUGUACACACCGCCCGUCGCUCCUACCAAUUUCGAGUGGCUCGGUGAACCUCUUUGGACUGUCGAGCAAUCGCGAAAUUAGAGUGAACCUGGUCACUUAGAGGAAGGAGAANUCGUANCA